AAGUCGUAACAAGGUUUCCGUAGGUGAACCUGCGGAAGGAUCAUUAGUAGGACUGUGCCAUUUGUGGUGCAAGUGCAACCUUGUGCUGUGUGAUGUUACUUGUGCGUGUUACAGGAUAUGUAUGCACGCACUAGUUUUUAACAUUUAUUUUCUAUUCUCUAAUAUACUGCUCGCAAGAGCACAAACAACCGAAAACUGCCAGCAAUGGAUCACUCGGUUCUC
rnacentral:misc_RNA from 1 species